UUUUACAAAUUCUAACAAAAACCGUAAAAAUGCUGAAGCAAAUAGUACAUGUAUCGUCACUGUCCCGCCGCAAAAGUCAGUCAUCAGUUGAAGUAAAGUGCUCUGUUUCUGAACAUCGGAAACCGUCUACGUGUCGCCGGAGAAUCUCACCCUUGUUGCUUCCUUGAUUGGAUUUCGCCGCAUCCUACGUCAACCCGACCAGUGUGCUUAACAGUUCGUGCUUUGGUGAAGCCAUAAUUACAGCUAAGAAGGAUAAGCAAUGGUUGAGGUGAGUUUGGAGGAGGCCUUUUAACUCGGCUUUGUGGAGGUGUGGCAAAGACAUUACUGGUUGUUGAUGUCAGCAGAAAUAGUCGUAGUGCAGACUCUUCAUUGUGGUUGGAGAGUUAUACUGUCAAGGAGCGCAAGAUCACAAGAUGGAAUCCAGAACAGUGCCGCGAAGAUCAUACAAUGGUUGGAACUUGGAAGUGAAAAUGGAGUCAAGGAAGAGAUUUAGUAUUUUUUUAUUUGCUACAACCGAGUCAGAGGUAUGCCUUCCUAAUUGGAUAGAAUGAGCAACUAUUAUUUGUAUGAAAAGAAUUUGGCACUGAUGUGUGUAUGAUACUGAAUAUAUUGCUCAUCAAGGUGUAUGAUACUGAAUAUAUUGCUCAUCAAGGUUUUAAUCACAAUUUGUAAAUCACAAAAGUAUCCUUAUAAGAGAAGAUGAAACUAAUAUUUUCCUACA